AACGAACGCUGGCGGCAUGCCUAACACAUGCAAGUCGAACGAGACCUUCGGGUCUAGUGGCGCACGGGUGCGUAACGCGUGGGAAUCUGCCCUUGGGUUCGGAAUAACAGUUAGAAAUGACUGCUAAUACCGGAUGAUGUCUUCGGACCAAAGAUUUAUCGCCCAGGGAUGAGCCGGCGUCGGAUUAGCUUGUUGGUGAGGUAAAAGCUCACCAAGGCGACGAUCCGUAGCUGGUCUGAGAGGAUGAUCAGCCACACUGGGACUGAGACACGGCCCAGACUCCUACGGGAGGCAGCAGUGGGGAAUAUUGGACAAUGGGCGAAAGCCUGAUCCAGCAAUGCCGCGUGAGUGAUGAAGGCCUUAGGGUUGUAAAGCUCUUUUACCCGGGAUGAUAAUGACAGUACCGGGAGAAUAAGCCCCGGCUAACUCCGUGCCAGCAGCCGCGGUAACAC
rnacentral:rRNA from 1 species